AAAGGAAUAGACGGGGACCCGCACAAGCAGCGGAGCAUGUGGUUUAAUUCGAAGCAACGCGAAGAACCUUACCAGGGCUUGACAUCCCCCCGACCGUCCCGUAAAAGGGGCUUCCCUUCGGGGCGGGGGAGACAGGUGGUGCAUGGUUGUCGUCAGCUCGUGUCGUGAGAUGUUGGGUUAAGUCCCGCAACGAGCGCAACCCUUGUCAUUAGUUGCCAUCAUUGAGUUGGGCACUCUAAUGAGACUGCCGGGGAUAACUCGGAGGAAGGUGGGGAUGACGUCAAAUCAUCAUGCCCCUUAUGUUCUGGGCUACACACGUGCUACAAUGGCCGGUACAACGAGAAGCGAAGCCGCGAGGCGGAGCGAAUCUCCAAAACCGGUCCCAGUUCGGAUUGCAGGCUGCAACUCGCCUGCAUGAAGUCGGAGUUGCUAGUAAUCGCGGAUCAGAACGCCGCGGUGAAUGCGUUCCCGGGUCUUGUACACACCGCCCGU
rnacentral:rRNA from 1 species